rnacentral:rRNA from 1 species
AUACGGAAGAUGCGAGCGUUAUCCGGAUUUAUUGGGUUUAAAGGGAGCGUAGGCGGGCUGUUAAGUCAGCGGUCAAAUGUCAGGGCCCAACCUUGGCAUGCCGUUGAUACUGGCGGCCUUGAGUUCACACAAGGAAGGUGGAAUUCGUCGUGUAGCGGUGAAAUGCUUAGAUAUGACGAAGAACUCCGAUUGCGAAGGCAGCCUUCUGGGGUGUUACUGACGCUGAGGCUCGAAAGUGCGGGAAUC